rnacentral:rRNA from 1 species
UGGUGGAGUGAUUUGUCUGGUUAAUUCCGUUAACGAACGAGACCUCCGCCUAUUAAAUAGGUGGUUAGGAUUCUAAUAAGUGAAUCGUUCCCCGGUGUUCUCAGUCUCGGCUGGGUUCUCGGGGGCGAGGAUCUAUGAAACGCUUAAUUCGUCUUCUUAGAGGGACUACCCGCGGUAAGCGGGGGAAGUUGGAGGCAAUAACA